AGUGAACGCUGGCGGCAGGCCUAAUACAUGCAAGUCGAACGGCAGCACAGCAGAGCUUGCUCUGUGGGUGGCGAGUGGCGGACGGGUGAGGAAUACAUGGGAAUCUGCCCAGUCGUGGGGGAUAACGUAUGGAAACGUACGCUAAUACCGCAUGCGCCCUUCGGGGGAAAGCCGGGGAUCUUCGGACCUGGCGCGAUUGGAUGAGCCCAUGUCGGAUUAGCUAGUUGGGGGGGUAAAGGCCCACCAAGGCUACGAUCCGUAGCUGGUCUGAGAGGAUGAUCAGCCACACUGGAACUGAGACACGGUCCAGACUCCUACGGGAGGCAGCAGUAGGGAAUAUUGGACAAUGGGCGCAAGCCUGAUCCAGCCAUGCCGCGUGUGUGAAGAAGGCCUUCGGGUUGUAAAGCACUUUUAUCCGGAAAGAAAAGCGCUGGGUUAAUACCCUGGUGUUCUGACGGUAC
rnacentral:rRNA from 1 species